AGGACUGCGGGGUUCUUGAAAGGCCAGAGCGACAGACGCGGGGAGCCGGUGUUUUCUUCUGAUGUGUUUUAAUAGGAAACAGCGUAGACCCAGCGUGACCUAGUGGUUUGAGACCAGGGUUCGAAUCCCUGUUCCGCCUUGGAAAGGACCUACCAACAAACAUGGCUAAUAUAGCAUCAUACAAUAAUAGCAUAGGGUUCCUGUGAGUUUUCUGGGCUGUAUGGCCAUGUCCCAGAAGCAUUCUCUUCUGAUGUUUUGCCCACAUGUAUGGCAGGCAUCCUCAGAGGUUGUAAUAUAUAUUGGAAACUAGGCCAAUGAGAUUUAUAUAUCUGGAAGGUCCAGGUUGGGAAAAAGAACGUUUGUCUGUUGUAGGCAAGGGUGAAUUUUGCAACUAAUCACCUUGAUUAGCAUUGGAAAGCCUUGCAGCGUCAAAACCUGGCUGCUUCCUGCCUGGAGGAAUCCUUUGUUGGGAGGUGUUAGCUGGCCCUGAUUGUUUGCUGUCUGGAAGUGCCCAGUUUUUUUAGUGUUGUGCUUUAUUUACUGUCCUGAUUCUAGAGUUUUUUUUUAAUACUGGUAGCCAGAUUUUGUUCACUUUCAUAGUUUCCUCCUUUCUGUUGAAAUUGCCCAUAUGUUAGUGGAUUUCAGUGGCUUCUCAGUGUAGUCUGACAUGGUGGUUGUUAGAGUGGUCCAGCCUUUCCGUGUUCUUAAAUAAUAUGCUGUGUCCAGAUUUGUUCAUCAAGGGCCCUGCUAUGGCUGACUUCUCUGGUUGAAUUAGUCUGCAGUGCCUUUCAUGUUCCUUGAUUCAUGUUUGGGCAUUGCUGCAUUUGAUGGUCCCUCUGUAGACUUGUCCACAGCUGCAUGGUAUAUGGUAGACUCCUGCAGAGGUGAGAGGAUCUCCCUUGUCCUUUGCUGAACGUAGCAUUUGUUGGAUUUUCUUAGUGGGUCUGUAGAUAGUUUGUAGGUUGUGUUUCUUCAUCAGCUUCCCUAUGUGGUCAGUGGUUCCCUGGAUGUAUGAUAAGAACAGUUUUCCUCUGGGCAGCCUUGGGCCGGGCUGUGGCACAGCUGGUUAGUAGCCAGCAGCAAUAAAUCACCACUGACCGUGAGGUUAUUGUUCGAAACCCGGGUCAGGGUUAAGCUCACCUAGCUCACUGUUUACCUAAGCAGCUCGAAAGCAGAUGUGUCUGCAAGUAGAACAUUCUAGGUACCGCUUAAUGCGGGGAAGCUAAUUUAACGUAAUUUAUGACACCAUAAAUCUGACAACGGUGGGCAAAGAACAUGAGAGGAAAUACUGUAUUGAAGGGACCAUAAGCCAGAAAAUAGAAAACCUUUGCAUGUAUAGCUUUGCCUCUGCAUAUACCAUAUUAGCCUUUUAUAUAGACAGUGUAAGCCCUUUAUAUGAACCAAAGUAGUAUGUGUAACACAGGGCCUGUGCCCCUCCCUUCUUGGGGGCUGGUGCUUUUCUCCAGAAUGUUCUGAGGAGAGAAGAAAGCUCAGAGUAAACAUGUGAGGUCACAGAUACCACUUGUGCCAAAAUAGGUGUGGAAGGUGAGGAAGACCAUCAGCAAUUGGUCAAUUUUAGAUAAGCCAAGAUAUAUAUUCUUUGUUAACUGCAACACACUUUACAGUGGCUAUUUGCAUGGUACAGACCUUUGUGGGUGUGUACAGCUGUUUUGCCUUCUCAUAGCUAUGAUGGAAAUAAUUUUGCUUUUUGUGCUCUCACGAGAUUGGUUUUUCUGCCUGAUUGCUUCCAGGGCCGGAACCUUUGAAGACAAGUGGGAGCAGUUUCUGCAACAUGUGAUGGCAUAGGUCUCUAGCAUUUUCUGUUUGCUGGUUGCCUUGGAAAACAAUAAGAAAGGGAGAGUAUGAAGGCAAAGGCCAUUCACUAUCUGCAUCCAGUCCUGAACUUUCAUCAAAUGACAGCAAAAGCUUCUUCUUUGAAGACAUCAUCCACCAAAUCUACCCUUUCUGAUGUAUUAAUAGCAAUUCCAAGCUACCGGUAUUCAAUACUAAAAAAAUCUUGCCGAGUUUUGUUUGGACCACAGGGAAAUAGUAUCAAUUUCUAUGAAAUGUGUUGGAUUUUAUUUACCUUACAUGUACCCACAUUGUAAAUAAUGCAUAAUUUAUAUGUAUUUUAUAGAAAUGUUUUAAUACGUAUCUUUUAUAGAACUACAUUUUAAUAUGUGUGUUUAUAGAAUUUUUGCAGUUUGUGCAAUUUGAUUGUGCUGUGACCUGCCUUGAGAAGAGGCGGGUAAGAAAUAAAAUUAUUAUGUUGGCUUCUA